GACCGUGCUGACUUCACCACCGGGGAGUAGUGGUCCUAGCACGUCGUGUCCUCCUAUGUUCCCACAUUUUAUCCCCACGCCCGAUCCGGCUGUGAUGGCGCUCCUCCAGCAAGCGCCAAGUCAGAGCCCGCUGACACCUGGCUUGACCGUCAACAAUACGGGCAUCAUCCGGAGCCUGCAGCAGUUUCUAGGAGGACAAGGAGGUGGAGAAGGACAAGGAGGUGGAGAAGGACAAGGAGGUGGAGACGGAAAUGGAGAAGGUUGAUGUUGGUUGUAUGAACUUUGUUGUGCUAUUUGGAUCAUUCUAUGUUGGAGACUUUGUU